AGAGUUUGAUCCUGGCUCAGAUUGAACGCUGGCGGCAUGCUUUACACAUGCAAGUCGAACGGCAGCGGGGGCUUCGGCCUGCCGGCGAGUGGCGAACGGGUGAGUAAUGCAUCGGAACGUGCCCAUGUCGUGGGGGAUAACGUAUCGAAAGGUACGCUAAUACCGCAUACGUCCUGAGGGAGAAAGCUGGGGAUCUUCGGACCUCGCGCGAUUGGAGCGGCCGAUGUCGGAUUAGCUAGUAGGUGAGGUAAAGGCUCACCUAGGCGACGAUCCGUAGCGGGUCUGAGAGGAUGAUCCGCCACACUGGGACUGAGACACGGCCCAGACUCCUACGGGAGGCAGCAGUGGGGAAUUUUGGACAAUGGGCGCAAGCCUGAUCCAGCCAUGCCGCGUGAGUGAAGAAGGCCUUCGGGUUGUAAAGCUCUUUCGGCCGGGAAGAAAUCGUGGUCUCUAACAUAGGCCAUGGAUGACGGUACCGGACUAAGAAGCACCGGCUAACUACGUGCCAGCAGCCGCGGUAAUACGUAGGGUGCGAGCGUUAAUCGGAAUUACUGGGCGUAAAGCGUGC
rnacentral:rRNA from 1 species